UCUGUGAAUGGCGCCCCCUGUGGCCGUGCACUGAGCAAUCUGCACAGCUGGUCAGCGCAUCCCGGAGGCCCAAGGAAGGUACAUAUGGGGCACUGACCUGUGAGAGCAGCGCAGGCAGGCCCUGGCCCCAGAUGGGGCUGGGGGACCCCACAGGCUAACGAAAGGAGUCCUGUCAGCUUUACUAGAAGGAAGGAGAGAAGCGAGGAAGGCCUGAGAGAGAUGGUGUGGGCAGGCCACCAAGGAAAAUGAAAGUAUUUAACCCUUUCUGCCUUGAUUUUCACCAAAUCACAAGGUCCUCAAAGGCGAGAGGGCAAAGUAAACACCAGGAGGCCUGACGUCCCAGGUUAGGGAUGUGCACCUUGACCCCCUGUGGGUAUUGGCUGGAAGCUGGGGCCUGCAGAGGACUCCGGACUCGGGGUCAGGCCUCGUUUGCUAUCAUACUAAAAAGGAGGUUUCUGGACACUAAGCGCCCAAGACCAGGCAAAAUGCUUCGUGUCCCCUUUAUCUCGUGACUCCCAGACCCCCAGGCUGACAAGGACGUGCUCUCUUCCUUCCUCUGCGGCACUGAGGGGCAAGUGUUCUGCUCUGUACCUGCCCGAUGGAAACACUAAAAAGCAAGCAGACCCUGUGGACCCCGGGGACUCCUGGGGGCGGUUCUUCAGGAGCCAAGGCGUCUCCUUUCUCUGCCAGACAUACCUUCUGACAAAGGGGAUACAAACCUCGGUGAGAGACAAGACUAGACAAUGGUCACAGCUUCGUCCCAUGUCCUCCCCAGGGAAUAUGUGACUUACUGCAGGAAGCAGCGACCAGGACACAGCCGCACAGAGGGAAGACCACCCGGGGGCCCGGGAGCAGACGGCCCUCUGCGAGCCAAAGAGCAGGCAGGCCUCGGGAGAAAGCACUCCUGCCACCCCCUUGCUCUUGGCCUUCCAGGCUCCAGAACUGUGAGAAAAUACAUUCCUGUUGUUGAAGCCACUCCAUCUGUGGCAUGUUAUCAUGGAAACCCUAGAAAGCUAUUGUAACUGGGGUAUUUCAUUUCAUCCUCAUUCAUUUCAUCCUCAUGACCACUCUGAUCAUUUUCCUCAUUGUGCAGAAGAAACUGAUGCUCAGAGAAGUCAGUUGAUCCGUCCCAGUUCUCACAGUGAGCCAGUGGCAGAGCCAGGAUUGGUAUCAGGCUUUCUUCUACCACUUUAAGUUGCCUGGUAAAACUAAUGCUCUACUGAAGGUGCCCUAGGAGCUACCCUGGGCAGAUCAACGGAGGGCACUCCAGGGGAGGCGUUUCUUGCGAAUACCCUGAUUCCAUAUGGAGACCUGGCUGCUCUCGGUUGAAUCUCCCGGAUGUGCUUCACUGGCACCCAUGGCAGUGUCGCCUGGGCCUGCAGCUGACUGCAACCUGAUGGGUAGAGCUCCAUCAGGUCCUCGCGUGGGCUGAGAGCCACACAGUGCCCAGCCGGACCUCCCGGGAAGCAGCCGGGGAUGAGGACGGGCGGCCUUUGCACUCUCAGAAGGAGACACUAGCUGCUACAUGGACCCCGAUCACAGCCCCCAGCCUCAUGGAUAUCAGAGAGUGGGCCCCUUACCUAAUAACUAUGACGAUGACCAUCCCCCACAGCUUCCAUCCCACGGGCACUACGCUGGGCACUUGAGCGCGGUUACUUCUCAGAUGGACAUCCACUUGGGAGGUGAGUACCUUUCCUGUACCACAGAUGAUGCAGAGAAUGGAACCAGGGCUUAGGAAGUCGAGUGACUUGCUCAGGGACACUCCGACAAGCGAGGCACAGAGCCCAAAUCCCAGCUCCCAAAGCCUGUCCCUGCCUCUCGCCGGGAGGAUUGAUGACACAUGGAGGCACACCUGUGCGGCUGACUAGUACUGCUCCUCAGGGCACCGAGGACACCCCCGAGAGGCCACUGAAGCCUCAUCAUGGGGGGAUCCCUUACAGGAGCUGGGAGACCUCCAGGGAUGGCAAGCCCAGCACCCACCUGAUUACAGGGGAACCUAGCCAGCAAUGGUCCGAGGAUGGCUUCCUGCCAGCCACUCCCCUGGCUCCUAGCACCCUUUCUUUCAGCCCCACAGCCCUGACGCACACCCCAGCAGGUAGCCAGGGGCGUCGGGGAUCCGUCAGCAUCUGCACUGUGACCUUGCUGUUUGUUGACACUGUCCCUGGAAACCCCAGCAUGAUGACGGCCUCCGUCAGGUGAACACCUGCGUGGUGUCUGGUGACAUCUGUGCCAAGAGGUGAUGUCAGUCGUCCGAGUGCACCUGGAAGGGCAGGCUGCCUGAGAGUGGCUCCAGAUCCACAGUGCUUCACCCAGGGACUCAGGUUCUAACUCUGGUUCAGAUGAAUCUCACCCGUGUUAUUUCCCUAGGCCUCAUCCUCCUCAAGGCUCCAUUAAGGGGUUAAGCUCAAAGAAGACUGUGUUUGAGCCAGUGCUUUGAUUGCCCUCCCUGGGUCUCAGCUGUGAUGCGGACUAGCUGCUUCAGGCUCCUUGUAUUAGUCAGGUCCUCCGGAGAAACCGAACCCACAGGAUAUACAUGUGUAUAUAGAGAGAGAGACAGAGAAACAGGAGGGGUGAGGGGAUUUACUCUAGGAAUUGGCUCCCACAGUCAUGGAGGCUGAGAAGUCCCACAGUCACCCAUCUGCAGACUGGACAGCAGGAACUCCAACAUCUGAGGGCAGGAGAAGAUGGUCAUCCCAGCUCAGGAGAGAAACACUUCACCCCUCCUUUGUCCCAUUAGGGCCUUCAGGGGACUAGACGGUGUCCUUCCUACAAGUGAGGACUGAUCUCUUUUCUCAGUCUAUUGAAUCAAAUGCAAACUAGUUUCUUCCAGAAGCCCCCUCACAGACACACCCAGAAAUGAGGUUUUACCAGCCACCUGGCUUCCCAGAGCCCAGUCACACUUACACAUAAAACUGCCCGUCACACUCCUACAGGAGAAUCAGAGUCAUACGUUAUCCCUUUCCCCAGUCAUUCAGCCAACAUCUGCUGAGUGCUUCCUAUAUGUGAGCCACGUGUGGGAACAACUACCAAGCCCUUGGAAAAGAGUAGCCUGGCCCUCCAUAACUGGUUUACCCUCCCUGAAGGAUGCGAUGCAGCCCCCAGGCAAAUUCCAAGGCCGUGGAGGUUUCCCCAGGUUGGGCUGACAGGUUCACACCUGUCUCUGCACCCAGAUCCUAAAUGUCUUAUCGAUCAUGCUUGCCAUUCAGUUCCCGGUGCCCAGUAUAGAGCCCGGCACAUAGUGAGCAAGAUAAAUACACAAACACUGCCUACCUGAAGAACACAGUCUUCUUAUAUUACUACGAAAUACAUUGUGAAUGAAA